ensembl:scaRNA small Cajal body-specific RNA 14
GUGGAGCAUUUAUUUCUGGUUGUAUCACUGAGUGGUGUGCUACAACCACUGUGACUCCACACAGAGUGAGGCUGGUUCCGACCGACAGGGCCUGUAAAGGCAUCGGGACCCCUGUGCGAUGGUUCCAUACAUU